rnacentral:misc_RNA from 1 species
UAUAAACUCUUCAAGUUCUAGCUUGGUAAUGAAUUUUUGUCCCUUGACAAAUUCUAAAAUAUUUUGUCUGUUGUAAAAAGCCUUUUGCUUUGACGUAACCAAUGACUUUGCGCUCGGCAAAUCUUUUACAACAAGUUUUUAUCUUCUUCCACAGUUUAACCUC